rfam:Picea glauca, whole genome shotgun sequence.
CAAAGUGUAGCGCAGUCCGGUUAGCGCAUUUAUUUUGGGUACAGAGGGCCAUAAGUUCGAAUCCUGUCACCUUGA